ensembl:lncRNA
GUUGUCCUGCAGGUAGUCGAGGUACUUGUCAGCCAAGGCGGGCGGCAGGUGGCACUGCACGAAGACGGUGAGCAGGCGGCCCUGCGAGUGCCAGGCCCCCAGCCAGUGCUUGAGGCCGCGGAGGCGGCAGUCGCAGCUCCAGGCGUUCCCUUCCAGCUCCAGGCGGUAGAGAGCCGGGCUGGAGGCGAAGAGCUCACCGGGGAGCGUGGCCAGCGCGUUGUCUCGCAGGCUGAGCUCCCGCAGGUGGCCAAGACGGCCAAAAGUGGUGGGGUGCAAGGCAGUCAGCGUGUUGCGGCUCAGAUCCAGCGCCUCCAGGCUGCUGAGCGGCUCCAGAAGCGUGGCAGGAAGGUGGCUCAGCUGGUUUCCCUCGAGGCGCAGCUCUUUCAGUGAGCCCAGCCCCGCGAAGGCGUCCGGUGCCAGGUGAGCCAGUCGGUUGCCACUGAGCGAGAGUUUGGCCAAGGCGGACAGGUGCCGAAAAAGCCCCCCUGCCAGCUGCUGCAGGCUGUUGCUGGCCAGCAGCAGGGUGUGCAGGGAACGCAGCGGGCCAAAGAGUUCCGGGUGGCGAAGGGAGCUCUGCUGGUUCCCAGAGAGGUCGAGGAAGCGCAGCCUGGCCAGGCCGGUGAACGCCCCGCGGCUCAGCCAGCGGAUGCGGUUGGACUCCAGGUGCAGGUAGAGCAAAUUGGGCAGCCCCGAGAAGGUGGAGUCGCCCAGCGAGCCCAGCUCGUUGCCGUCCAGGCGCAGCUUGACCAGGCUGCUGAGGCCAGAGAAGGAGGCGGCGCUGAGGCGGCCAAUCUCGUUGGCAUUCACGUAGAGGAUGCGCAGCUUGGCCAGCGCGCUGAGCGUGCCAGGGGCCAGCGCAGGCAGCAGGUUGUUGCCCAGGUAGAGCUCCUCCAGCCGGCCCAGGCGCUCAAAGGCCUUGGGAUGCAGCGAGCGGAUCCGGUUGUACUGCAGGUCCAGGCGCUGGAGCCCGGCCAGGCGGUGGAAGUCGAAGGCGGAGAUGUUGGCGAUGAAGUUGCCUCCCAGGCUGUAGAUGGGCAGUCAGAGGAAUAAGCCGCCCGUAGUACUUCAAGGAAUGAGUUUUCCUUCAUCCUCUGCAACAGCCUUCUCGGGAGGUUCCUGGCACAGCGGCCAGCAAAGAUGUAGCUGAGCAUCUUCAGCUCCAUGAGGUUCUUUGGAUGCUCCGUUGAAAUAAACUCC